UCACACGCUUGUUUUACAAAAUACAAAAUGAGAAAACGAUAAAGAUGUGCAAACAUGUACAAAAUACAGACAUAAAUAUAAGCAACUAUAACAUACACAUCAAUAUUUAACAUCUUAGAUAUCAGUAGAUUAAAAACAUCUGUUCUUUAUAUAUUUUACUUUUAGUUAUAUUUUACUCCACUUUAUUAACACGAAAGCAAAAUAAAGAAAACUAAGAGUUAAAAAAUGUGAAUUCUGAUAAAUUAAUAAUACACUACAAAGACAGGCCUAUAUAUAGUCUAUAUAAUAAUUCCCCAAUUAUUAAUUUGACUAAGAAGGUUCCUGUCAACAUGGUCGCAGUUGUUUACAGUAGUGUUUGACUGUAGUAACGCUUGCUGGAUUGGCGGAUGGAGAUCGGAAGUAGUUUGUUCAUGCUAAUGAAGGAGUUGGGCUUGUGGAUAUUUACGUUCGACGGGAGCCGCCCUUCAUUCACCACAUGGUUAAAAGCUGAGCGCGUUCGCGCCACUUUCGCAAUUUUACUACGCUUUUGUAACGCUGCCCACGGCGUGCUCGGACGCGUCGCGUGGUGAUGGUUUAUUUCUCCCAAGUUUGUCGUUUAGUUUCGACGAUGUGCCCGGAGCGAUGACAGCGAACGAAGAUCCGCCUCCUGACCUUUCGGAUGGCGUUCGGAUCCCCCGGCGCGCCCCGUCCCCCGUGGAUCUGUCCGGCGUGUCAGCGCAGAGUCAAAGUGCUUACAGUGCAGGUAGUUCUGUUAAAUCUACUGCAGUGGAGGCACUUCAAGCUCUGCGGUCACAUGAUCGCACGCGAGCGGCGGCGUCCUCGUCGACUACUGCUUAUGCUAAGGUGCAUUUAGUGCAGAUAGUGAAGUAGACUAGCACCUACUGCCCUAAGUGCCCCUUCUGGCAUAAGGGGCUGCAAUCCCUGCUGUUCCCACUGGCUGCUCCCGUUCCUUCCGUUUCAUGCAGUUCUCUGCUAGUUUUGCGUAGUUGCACUACAAGAAAUAUUGAGUUGUGCAAAUCUAUGCAAAACUGAUGGUGGCCUGCUUCCCCGUCUUUCCCUGCGCUUCUGGCUUUGAGCGUCUCUGCUUGCGUCUCUCGCUGUCCCUCACUCCGGUUCCAGCAGUAUUAAAGUGCUUAUAGUGCAGGUAGUUCUCUAACUCUCAUCUACUGCAGUGUGAGCACUUCAAGUACUUCUAGACGCGAGCGCCGCGGGCCGAGCCGGACCUCACGCUGCCUGUCUGUCUGUCUGUGCUGGUUAGUUUUGCUGGUUUGCAGUCAGCGUUCCUGUCGUUGCUGUGCAAAUCCAUGCAAAACUGAUCAUAGCAGUGAGGAGUCUCCGCUUCCCGCCGUCAGAUCCCCCAGCAUCCCUAUCUUCGCAGGUCGGGAUCGGCCGCAAUGCUCUGCGCUGGAAGUAUUGCACUUGUCCCGGCCUGUGAAGAGCGCGGAAAUCCUUCGGCUGCUCCUGUGCGCUUGUCUUCAAAUAAACUUCUGUUGUUGGAGUUUGAUUGUCUCAAUAAAAGUGUUACAUGUACAUGUGUGUGUCUGUGGUUGUGUUUCAGCAACUUAACCUGUUUUUGUUUUGUGUUUUUCUGUUGAAUACUGGUCUAGAUUAUUCAAACAUGACUAGUUUUAUAGAUAAGUGAUGUUUUUUAGGUUCACUUUUCAGUCUGUUUGUCACGUACUCCAGUGACGGGUUUGGAAGUUUUGAGGUUUGGAAAUUAUGAACUAAUUUAUGCAUUUAAUACCUGUAUGAGAGCUUGUUUCUGCCACAGAAUAAAACAAAUUCAGAAGACUUUAAUAUCACGAUUUAAGUGUGAGUUUAUAUGCCAUUCUGAGGGGGGAGAGUCAGAAUUGUGGGGGAAAAAGUCGCAAUUGCUUUUAUUUUUGUUUAUUCAGUGGCAGAAACAAGCUUCAAUAAAACAUGAGCCUGAAGGGUUAAAUUUACUCAAGUGUUUUGAUUGUACUUUAAGGCAUUCAAACCCAUAAGGUUGUUGGUAAUUUUUCUGUAAUUUUGUUUUUUCUGCAUUUUUCCUGAAGAGAAUACUGUAAUAGUGUUAUACAGGUUCAUUCUUUUAAUUAAAAAAAAAAAAAAAAUCAAAAUGCUGGGUUAAAAACAGCCCAAGUUGGAUUGGAAAUGGACAAAGUCAGCAAUUUGGGUUGUUUUAACCCAGCGGUUGGGUUAAAUGGGGGCAAGUGUUAUUUAACUCAACUAUUGUUUAAAAAUGACUGUUUCUUGCUUAAAAUGAACCCAAAAUAUAUUGGAAAUGAACAUUUAUUAAUAAGUUUACCAAUUAAACAUUUAUCAAUUAGCUUAUUAAUAAAUGUUCAUCUCUUUAUUAUUAUUGCCUCCAGUAAUUGUCUGAUUUUUAAUUUCCAAUAUAUUUUAGGUUCGUUUUAAGUCAGGCAUAUACUUAUUUUUAAACAAUAGUUGAGUUGAAUAAAACUGCUCUCAAAUAUUUAACCCAACUGCUGGGUUUGUGCCUUUUCAACCCAACUUAGGUUGUUUGUAGCCCAGCAUUAUUUAGUGUUUUUUUGUAUUUUGUCAAACGUGCAGGUCUCAUUAUGAGCACUAGAUGGCGCUGUUGUAUAGAAUAAUCUCAUGUACAGUAUUUUAGAGCUUGUGUUCAGUGAUUGACUUCUGAAAAUACAUGCUUUUGUGUUUAAACUCAUGAGUCUGUCGCUUCAGCAGAAACACCUGCAUGUGAGGAACAAAAAAAUUAAAAGAAUUCUUAAUGUUG